CUGAAGGAGACAAACCAAGGAAGGAACAGAGACGGUCUAUCUCUCGUCCACAGUCCUGCAGAAAAUAUCUGUUUAGACCCAUGAUUCAACCUGAGGGUCGAGAAGGUGUGCUGAUCUCCAGAAACGGCACUCUUUCAUGAAUAGGAAUGGACGCCUGGCGCUCUGGAGAUGUCUGGGCAAAAUACAGAAGAUCCAGGAUGAAGCUACUGUUGAGACCAGGUCAGACCUCCCUGUGGGCCGGCUCCCCGGUUUCCCCUUCAGUUUGAUUUUCUUUGGUUUUGGAUUAUUGCUUUGUAGUAUUUACCUUGUUUUCACCUACUACAACACCUUCACACAUAUAUAUUCAUGUAUCCAUCAUCCUGUGCACA